AUCAGGAGUGGAAGUAGGAGUAGGUGUAGAAAUAGGAGUAGAAGUAUAAUCUACAAAUAGGGAUACAAUACCGAAUAAUC